rnacentral:rRNA from 1 species
AUUGAACGCUGGCGGCAGGCUUAACACAUGCAAGUCGAACGAGUGGCGGACGGGUGUGUAAUGCUUGGGAAUCUAGCUUAUGGAGGGGGAUAACUACGGGAAACUGUAGCUAAUACCGCUUACCAUAGGAUGAGCCCAAGUGGGAUUAGGUAGUUGGGGCGGUAAAGGCUCAACAAGCCGACGAUCUCUAGCUGGUCUGAGAGGAUGACCAGCCACACUGGGACUGAGACACGGACCAGACUCCUACGGGAGGCAGCAGUUGGUAAUAUUGCGCAAUGGGGGCAACCCUGACGCAGCCAUGGCGCGUGAAUGAAGAAGGCCGUAGGGUUGUAAAGUACUUUCAGCGGGGAGGCGUUACCCGCAGAAGAAGCACCGGCUAACUCCGUGCCAGCAGCCGCGGUAAUUC